rnacentral:lncRNA from 1 species
CAAUCGUCUUGUAUUUGAAUAACCUGUAAUUAGCCAUAUAGUUAUUCUAAGCCUCUUCACAGGGCUGUGAACUGCUCACUCAAGUACUGGCUACAGGAUUCACCCCAGGUUUGUAGAUGGACCAAAGCUGUUUA